ACUCCUACGGGAGGCAGCAGUAGGGAAUCUUCCGCAAUGGGCGCAAGCCUGACGGAGCAACGCCGCGUGAGCGAGGAAGGCCUUCGGGUUGUAAAGCUCAGUCAAGGGGGAAGAGCGGCAAGGAGAGGGAAUGCUCUUUGCGAGACGGUACCCCGAGAGGAAGCCCCGGCAAACUACGUGCCAGCAGCCGCGGUAAUACGUAGGGGGCAAGCGUUGUCCGGAAUCACUGGGCGUAAAGGGUGCGUAGGCGGUUCUGCAAGUCUGGGGUGAAAGGCCAGGGCUCAACCUUGGGAAUGCCUUGGAAACUGUAGGACUCGAGUACUGGAGAGGCAAGGGGAAUUCCACGUGUAGCGGU
rnacentral:rRNA from 1 species